GACGAACGCUGGCGGCGUGCUUAACACAUGCAAGUCGAACGGAAAGGCCCUGCUUUUGUGGGGUUCUCGGGUGGCGAACGGGUGAGUAACACGUGAGUAACCUGCCCUUGACUUUGGGAUAACUUCAGGAAACUGGGGCUAAUACCGGAUAGGAGCUCCUGCUGCAUGGUGGGGGUUGGAACGUUUCGGCGGUUGGGGAUGGACUCGCGGCUUAUCGGCUUGUUGGUGGGGGAGUGGCUUACCAAGGCUUUGACGGGUAGCCGGCCUGAGAGGGUGACCGGCCACAUUGGGACUGAGAUACGGCCCAGACUCCUACGGGAGGCAGCAGGGGGGAAUAUUGCACAAUGGGCGGAAGCCUGAUGCAGCAACGCCGCGUGCGGGAUGACGGCCUUCGGGUUGUAAACCGCUUUCGCCUGUGACGAAGCGUGAGUGACGGUAAUGGGUAAAGAAGCACCGGCUAACUACGUG
rnacentral:rRNA from 1 species